rnacentral:rRNA from 1 species
CAUNGCACACUGGGGGAAACCCUGAUGCAGCNACGCCGCGUGAGUGAGGAAGUAUUUCGGUAUGUAAAGCUCUAUCAGCAGGGAAGAAAAUGACGGUACCUGACUAAGAAGCCCCGGCUAACUACGUGCCAGCAGCCGCGGUAAUACGUAGGGGGCAAGCGUUAUCCGGAUUUACUGGGUGUAAAGGGAGCGUAGACGGAAUUGCAAGUCUGAUGUGAAAAGCCGAGGCUCAACCCCGGAACUGCAAUGGAAACUGUAUUUCUAGAGUGUCGGAGAGGCAAGUGGAAUUCCUGGUGUAGCGGUGAAAUGCGUAGAUAUCAGGAGGAACACCAGUGGCGAAGGCGGCUUGCUGGACGAUGACUGACGUUGAGGCUCGAAAGCGUGGGGAGCAAACAGG